UUACUGGGCGUAAAGCGCGCGUAGGCGGCUUGAUAAGCCGGUUGUGAAAGCCCCGGGCUCAACCUGGGAACGGCAUCCGGAACUGUCAGGCUAGAGUGCAGGAGAGGAAGGUAGAAUUCCCGGUGUAGCGGUGAAAUGCGUAGAGAUCGGGAGGAAUACCAGUGGCGAAGGCGGCCUUCUGGACUGACACUGACGCUGAGGUGCGAAAGCGUGGGUAGCAAACAGGAUUAGAUACCCUGGUAGUCCACGCCGUAAACGAUGUCGACUAGCCGUUGGGGUCCUCGAGACCUUUGUGGCGCAGUUAACGCGAUAAGUCGACCGCCUGGGGAGUACGGCCGCAAGGUUAAAACUCAAAUGAAUUGACGGGGGCCCGCACAAGCGGUGGAGCAUGUGGUUUAAUUCGAUGCAACGCGAAGAACCUUACCUACUCUUGACAUCGAGCGAACUUUCCAGAGAUGGAUUGGUGCCUUCGGGAACGCUCAGACAGGUGCUGCAUGGCCGUCGUCAGCUCGUGUUGUGAAAUGUUGGGUUAAGUCCCGUAACGAGCGCAACCCUUGUCCCUAUUUGCCAGCGAUUCGGUCGGGAACUCUAGGGAGACUGCCGGUGACAAACCGGAGGAAGGUGGGGACGACGUCAGGUCAUCAUGGCCCUUACGAGUAGGGCUACACACGUGCUACAAUGGCCGGUACAAUGGGCUGCAAUCCCGCGAGGGGGAGCUAAUCUCAUAAAGCCGGUCUCAGUCCGGAUCGGAGUCUGCAACUCGACUCCGUGAAGUCGGAAUCGCUAGUAAUCGUGCAUCAGAAUGGCACGGUGAAUACGUUCCGGGCCUUGUACACACCGCCCGUCACACCAUGGGAGUGGACUGCACCAGAAGUGGUUAGCCUAACUUCGGAGGGCG
rnacentral:rRNA from 1 species